rnacentral:rRNA from 1 species
AAGCGUUGUUCGGAAUUACUGGGCGUGAAGGGUCUGUAGGUGGCUUGCUAAGUCAGACGUGAAAUCCCUCGGCUUAACCGGGGAACUGCGUCUGAUACUGGCGAGCUUGAGUGCAGGAGAGGAACGCGGAAUUCCAGGUGUAGCGGUGAAAUGCGCAGAUAUCAGGAGGAACACCGGUGGCGAAGGCGGGUCUCUGGGCCGAUACUGACGCUGAGGAGCGAAAGCGUGGGGAGCGAACAGG